rnacentral:rRNA from 1 species
UAAGUCGCAAGACGAUGUAUAGGAGCUGACGCCUGCCCGGUGCUGGAAGGUUAAGGGGAUCUGUUAGAGCAAUCGAAGCAGUGAACUUAAGCCCCAGUAAACGGCGGCCGUAACUAUAACGGUCCUAAGGUAGCGAAAUUCCUUGUCGGGUAAGUUCCGCCCCGCACGAAAGGCGUAACGAUUUGGGCACUGUCUCAACAACAGACUCGGUGAAAUUGUAAUUCCGGUGAAGAUGCCGGAUACCUGCGACAGGACGGA